CGCACUGUGGGCAUCUAGGCUCCGAAGGACGCAAGGUUAUGAGGAUGUCUUCCGCACUGUGGGCAUCUAGGCUCCGAAGGACGCAAGGUUAUGAGGACGCUGGCUCGCGGCGCUACUUGCCCGUGUCCCGCACU
rnacentral:SRP_RNA from 1 species